GACGAACGCUGGCGGCGUGCUUAACACAUGCAAGUCGAACGGAAAGGCCCUGCUUUUGUGGGGUGCUCGAGUGGCGAACGGGUGAGUAACACGUGAGUAACCUGCCCUUGACUUUGGGAUAACUUCAGGAAACUGGGGCUAAUACCGGAUAGGAGCUCCUGCUGCAUGGUGGGGGUUGGAAAGUUUCGGCGGUUGGGGAUGGACUCGCGGCUUAUCAGCUUUUUGGUGGGGUAGUGGCUUACCAAGGCUUUGACGGGUAGCCGGCCUGAGAGGGUGACCGGCCACAUUGGGACUGAAAUACGGCCCAGACUCCUACGGGAGGCAGCAGUGGGGAAUAUUGCACAAUGGGCGGAAGCCUGAUGCAGCAACGCCGCGUGCGGGAUGACGGCCUUCGGGUUGUAAACCGCUUUCGCCUGUGACGAAGCGUGAGUGACGGUAAUGGGUAAAGAAGCACCGGCUAACUACGUG
rnacentral:rRNA from 1 species